rnacentral:rRNA from 1 species
GAUGAACGCUGGCGGCGUGCCUAAUACAUGCAAGUCGAGCGAACAGACGAGGAGCUUGCUCCUCUGACGUUAGCGGCGGACGGGUGAGUAACACGUGGAUAACCUACCUAUAAGACUGGGAUAACUUCGGGAAACCGGAGCUAAUACCGGAUAAUAUAUUGAACCGCAUGGUUCAAUAGUGAAAGACGGUUUUGCUGUCACUUAUAGAUGGAUCCGCGCCGCAUUAGCUAGUUGGUAAGGUAACGGCUUACCAAGGCAACGAUGCGUAGCCGACCUGAGAGGGUGAUCGGCCACACUGGAACUGAGACACGGUCCAGACUCCUACGGGAGGCACCAGUAGGGAAUCUUCCGCAAUGGGCGAAAGCUUGACGGAGCAACGCCGCGUGAGUGAUGAAGGUCUUCGGAUCGUAAAACUCUGUUAUUAGGGAAGAACAGAUGUGUAAGUAACUAUGCACGUCUUGACGGUACCUAAUCAGAAAGCCACGGCUAACUACGUG